rnacentral:rRNA from 1 species
AGGGCACCACCAGGAGUGGAGCCUGCGGCUUAAUUUGACUCAACACGGGAAAACUCACCCGGCCCGGACACUGGAAGGAUUGACAGAUUGAGAGCUCUUUCUUGAUUCAGUGGGUGGUGGUGCAUGGCCGUUCUUAGUUGGUGGAGUGAUUUGUCUGGUUAAUUCCGAUAACGAACGAGACUCUAGCCUACUAAAUAGAUAGUCGGCUUACAAACGUCGACUAGACUUCUUAGAGGGACAGGCGGUGAUUCAACCGCACGAAACAGAGCAAUAACAGGUCUGUGAUGCCCUUAGAUGUCCGGGGCCGCACGCGCGCUACACUGAAGUGAUCAGCGUGCUUUUUCAGCCUACUCUGUCAAGAGUGGGAAACCCAAUGAACCUUCUUCGUGAUUGGGAUAGGGGAUUGUAAUUAUUCCCCUUGAACGAGGAAUUCCCAGUAAGCGCGAGCCAUAAGCUCGCGUUGAUUACGUCCCUGCCCUUUGUACACACCGCCCGUCGCUACUACCGAUUGAAUGUUUU